AGUGUAUUUCCCGAACUCUAUAAUUACGGCGAACCGAUCGGAUUCUAUAAUAGAUUUUGCCAGUUUUUCCAAUACGCGUUUAUCGUAGAAUACGGGAAAUUAAUUUCGUUUUUCUCCGCAACAACUGAACGUGACGAGUAACUGUCGGGGGUUAAAAAAAAAAAAAAAAAAAAAAAAAUACUAUAGUAAUAGGGCGUACACCCGCUGUCGGCGUCCGACUAAUUUACGCGUUUACAAUUUACACGGUUACCCGCGGCGCGACGACGACGACGUGUACAAAUAGAAUAAUAAUAACAAUGUGCGUUAUCACGUGCCAGGGAGGUUCGGGUUUUUAUAAAAAAAAAAAAAAAAUUUCU